rnacentral:rRNA from 1 species
GACGAACGCUGGCGGCGUGCUUAACACAUGCAAGUCGAACGGAAAGGCCCUGCUUUUGUGGGGUGCUCGAGUGGCGAACGGGUGAGUAACACGUGAGUAACCUGCCCUUGACUUUGGGAUAACUUCAGGAAACUGGGGCUAAUACCGGAUAGGAGCUCCUGCUGCAUGGUGUGGGUUGGAAAGUUUCGGCGGUUGGGGAUGGACUCGCGGCUUAUCAGCUUGUUGGUGGGGUAGUGGCUUACCAAGGCUUUGACGGGUAGCCGGCCUGAGAGGGUGACCGGCCACAUUGGGCCUGAGAUACGGCGCAGACUCGUACGGGAGGCAGCAGUGGGGAAUAUUGCACAAUGGGCGGAAGCCUGAUGCAGAAACGCCGCGUGCGGGAUGACGGCCUUCGGGUUGUAAACCGCUUUCGCCUGUGACGAAGCGUGAGUGACGGUAAUGGGUAAAGAAGCACCGGCUAACUACGUG